UAGUCUUUAAAAAUAAUACAUACAUACAUACAUACAUACAUACAUACAUACAUACAUCUACUGGUUUUUCGAGACAAGGUUUCACUGUGUAGCCUUGACUGCCCUAGAAGUCACUCUGUGUAGAACAGGUUGGUCUUGAACUCACAGAAAUCUGCCUGUGUUUGUCUCCCCAGCACUGGGAUUAAAGACGUGUCUCACCACUGCCCAGCAAUUUAUUUUAAUUUAAAUGAUGUGUAUCUGUACCAACAGAGGCCAGAGAGGAUGUUGGUUCCCUUGAAGCUGGAGUUACAGGUAGUAGUUCUUUCCUUCAUGGCCCCAGUGGUUUGUACCUAAGCAAAGCUCCAUGGAACCAUCCCUGAGAUUUGGGAGCAAGCAUGACAAGAGGGUGUCUGAGUCUGGAGGCUCCACCCCUGGGGCCUCAAAGGAUCAGGCACGGAGGACUGAGGGAGCCGUCCACCUCACGUCAGGGAUGACAAGGGCUGGUGCUUUCUGCCACCUCCUCCAGGGCAAGGAUUAAGGCAGUGGGAGCGGGGUUAUCUUAGAGUUGGUCUUUCAUAGUUUUACCUCUCAUGACAGGGUUUCUCUGUGUAGCCCUGGCUGCCCAGGAACUCACUCUGUAGACCAGGCUGGCUGUGAACUCAAAAGAUCCACCUGCGCCCGCUCCCGAGCGCUGGGGUUAAAGGUGCACGACACCACUGCCUGGUGGUUCUUUCAGUUUUUAAGUAUUGUAUUUAUUUCUUUGUAUGAGUGUGCGCGCGCGCACGCGGAGCUCAGAGUCCGACAGUCGCGCACUGACUGACAGUCGCGCACUGACUGACAGUCGCGCACUGACUGACAGUCGCGCACUGACUGACAGUCGCGCACAGACAGUCGCGCAGCAGUUGUCUCCUUCCAGUUUCUGUGUUUUGGGGAUUGAACUCUGGCCUUCAGGCUUGACGGCGAGUGCCUUUCUUUGCUGGACCAUCUCUCUGCCCCCCUUUUGUUCAAGGCAGACAUUGGCCUUGAACCCCUGAUGCCCAUACCUCCAUCUCCCACUGCUGGAUUAUGGGUAUGUUAUCACUCUGUCUCAUUGUGACAGGAGAAAGCCAAACCAACAAACCGGCCAUGUUUAGAUGCAUACAGAACCACUCCUCCACCCAACCAGAGUUGGGUGACUGUCUUGCUUUCUAACUGUAAUUAAUGCUGACAGCUCCUGCUGGGGAAAUGGAGCCCUCAAAAUGCACCGGGCUGGGGGCCCCUGGACGAGGGGGGCUUACCAGGAUUAUCAGUUCAGGGCCUAGUAAUUAAGUCCCCAGAUGUUGACGAUUCAUCAAAUUACAAGGCCUGAUGGGGUCUGAGGUCCCAGCCGGGGAAGUGUGCAUUCCUCUAUGACGGCUCUUGUCCCAGGCUUUGCUAGGGAUGGCCAGUGGGUGGGAGUAGGGGGCAGCCCCCUCCAGGCAGGUCAGCCCCAUAUGGUUCUGAUUUCUCAGGCCCGGCUGUUGCAUACACAUGGGUUACAGGUCUAGUCUGGGUUUUAACAAUUUCCCCAAACUUGAGUUCCCUGCCCCAGGGCAAGGAAGAAAGGGCCUUAGUGUAGAGGUCCAGCUGUGACUUGUGCCCUGCUGGUGGCCUGCUGCUCUUUCCAGAGACCCUAGGUCUGGGUGCUUUGCAGAGUAGCCUCUGUACCCCAAGUCAUAGCAAGUUCGAGACUCACAGGUGUGUCAGGCUGUAUGUGGUUGGGGACAGCUGUGAAUGCAGCCAGGUAUAAAAUUAUAAACUUAUUUAAAAUAUUAGUAUUAGUGUGAACUUUGAAACAGAUGUACAGUUGAGGGCUAGUGAGAUGGCUCAGGGGGUUGGAGGUGCCGUCAAGCCUGACAGCCCGAGUUCAAUCCCUGAAACCCACCUGGUACAAGUCAAGAACUGACCUCCACAAACUGUCCUCUCAUCUCCAUAUGUACACUGUAGCAUGUACUCUCUCUCUCUCUCUCUCUCUCUCUCUCUCUCUCUCACACACACACACAAAUAUCAGCUAUACAGGUGAUGACAUCAUUGUGCAAUGUCGUCAUUGUGCAAUGUCAAAAGCUAGAGGUUUUGUUAAGUAACAACCGUGAGGUUAAAAAAUAAAAACAAAAACCCACUACCACAACAAAACUCCUCAAACCAACUAAAUUAGCAGCUAUGUUGAAAAAAAAAAGCAAAGCAAAACAAAAAAAAACCCCAAAACAGACAGUUCACUUCACUAUACAGACUUUGAAAUUGUCUAGAAAAGCAGGAAGGCCUCCCAGUCCCUGGGACAUGCUCUUGCCUGCCCAGGCCUGCACUGCCUUCUCAGGGUUACGGCCCGAGGGCCCCUGUUCCGCUUUUUCCUUUUGCUUCACAUCCGCUCACUGCCUGGGAGAGUGACCUGCUGGCCCUAUAAGGGCACGGUGUGCAACCGUUGGCCUGGGUCUCUUUCAGCUGUGACAGUCUUGAGUCAUGGAAGCAGCUGGCUUCUAUUUGGCGGCGAGGGCUUGCUCAGUGAGUGGCCCGUGUUGCUGGAAGCAAUUACAUCUAUGUCCCCAUCACACACCACGGCUGGAAGAGGAGGUUCUCAUACCAUAAAGGCCAAACUGGAACUAACCAGCUCCCUCAUUCUGAGUGCUAAGAUCAUAGGGCGCCCCUGACACUGACUGGGUAGUGGUACAGUAGUGUCCUUCAGAAGGGUAGGGCCCAGCCUGGCCAGGGCUCAGCAGAUACGCUAGGCUGGAAGGAAAGCUGCUUUGUGACAGCCUCUUUGCUUUGCCUGGGAGGCUGGAGUCUACCCAGAGUGCACACUGAUCCUCCCAUAGAAAGAAACAGUCCAGCUACCAAGGAGCACAGGAGGAGGAAGGCGGAGUGCAAUAGUUCAGUCAAGAUUCUGGAGGAGAAUAUCAAGGUUCAGGAGAAUGUUGGAUUAAGAGGAGGAGGCAGAGAGAGAACAAAAACAAUAAAUGUUAAAUUACCGGGUAGCCAUCUCGUCCUGAUUGCCCCUGUGGUAAUUAAUAAGCCAUUAACAAUCAGAGUUUGGGCAGAAAACCAUAUGGCAAUGCUUAUAACUCUGUCCAACCACACCCCCUGCUGCACCCCCUUGCUGCUUUCUGCACGGUUUCCAGGGGACCAACACUGCUGGCUGUAGUGUGCUGGGUCAGGGGGUGGGUCAGAAGGACAACCGCCUUCUCCUAUCAGCAGCCAUGGGGCCUUCAUCAGAGCCACCAAGCUACUACAUCCACAUGUGUCACCCCUAUGUCAAUUCUGGCAUAAGACAGAGAACACGAACCAGGGGCAAAAAAAUCCUUCACACAGGAGCUGCAGUAUGCUCUCAACUCAUCCACGUUUCUACUGGAACAGGUGGAGCUGAGAAGGUUCUGGAAGCUAGAGAUAUGGGGGAUAUGCACUGCUACCGGCUGUUUGUCUGUCCCCAGUUCAGAUUAGGCCUGCUUAAGGCUACUGACACCUAUGUCCCACACAUGGGUAACCCCUCCCCUUCCAAGCCCCUUGCAGUGGUAACUUAAGAAUUACUGCCUACUUAACCCAUUUAAUAUUUUAACAACUGAGCCAGGUACAAAACCGUGCCUUCACCUUUGUGUUUUGUAUUUCCACAAGUUUGUACAAGCCGCCUCCACGGAGCCUCCAGGAGCACUCUACCAGGAAGUUCACUUGUGGCCAAAACCCUACACAUUUUUGUUGGCCUGCCUUUUCUUUGGCUCAAACUGAUGUUACAUGCACAGAGAAGCCAGAGUCUGAAGGGUGCUGGUAGGGGUGGUGGGGGCAUAUGAAUCAUGGAAAUAGAAGUCAGAGGUAAAAUGGUUCAUCUGAAAAGAAUUCCUUUGGAAGGUUAAUUUUGGCUCCAGUUGACUGUCCAUGUGCUACUUGAAUGGAUGCAUAGGGAUUUAUCUGGCCCUGAAAAUCCGCCAAGAGGAAUCAAAGGCAGUUACAUCCGUAACCCAAAGAAGGGAGGAUUCUACAAGGGGGGAUUCUCGGGGCCACCGAGUCACCGCCAUCAAAGCAGCCUCUGUCUGUCUGGCCAAGGCGGGAGCCUCUCUGAGCUUCCCUUCACACCCUCUUAAAUGCAGUGACAUUUUUCCUUCUGGUGCCCUCUCAACACCUCUGCCAGCCAGCCAGGCUCAUGGAGUCCCAGCUGGGAGCAAGACAAGCUGGCUAAGAAGAAAAAAGAACUCCGGGAUCCAGUGAUCAUGCCCAAUUUUGACUUGGAGCUACUGUCUCAGGCCUUUGGCCAAAGCAAUGGAGAGUUAAAAAAAAAAAAUCAGCAGGCAGAGAAGGAGUCGGAGAGGAGCACAGCACGAUCCGAGACACUUACCGGAGGGCCUGCAAAACACAAGCAGAAAAGCUACUGUCAGCACGGAAGUUUCCCUCCCCAUCUCAGCACAGCCCUGGCCACCCCCACCUCAACAACUCCAGGCUUCACAGCAUUGCCCACAAUGGCCCUGUAAACAAGGGUCAGCCACAGAACCAAGAUGAUAGACUUUUGCCCUCGGAGGAGCCUGGGUGGCCAUGUCGGAGGCAAUGAGGGUUCUCACAUGCAUGGGUUCAUGUGUUCAGUUCAUGAGGCUGAUUGGCGUCCAUUCCCGUCAUGUUCUGAAAAGCUAAAUCUGAAUUAGAUCUUGCUUUCCAGUGAGCAGGUUUUUGGGUUUCACCCCAGAGGAGGGAGAUAAAGAGGCGAAAGCAAUUUGGCUGUAGGGAAGGGUUGGGGUAAAGGCAUGCAAUGGGUCACCACAGCCCAGCUCUGGGGUUUGAUGUGCACAAGGAGAUUUGAAGGGACAGUAUAGAGCCGUGGUUCUCAGCCUCCUUAGUGCUGCAGCCCUUUAAUACAGUUCCUCAAGUGGUGGCUGGUAUCUCACAAUUGUAACUUUGUUACUGCUAUGAAUCAUAAUGUAAAUGUCUGAUAUGCAGGAGGAUACUGGUAGGUGACCCCCAAAGGGGUUGCCACACACUGGUUGAGGAUCGCUGAUACGGAAACUGUGGUAGGGACUUUGAUGAGGCUUAGCCACAGAAGAUCUCUGGCUUCUGAACAUAUAUGUGCAUACCACACAUCUCACAGCUACACCCACGCGCACACACACACACACAGAGUACUUGGAAAAAAUUGUGCCUAUAUUGAACAGGCCGUUGUCAUUAAUUUUUAAGUAUAACUGAUUUGCAUAUCAUUUACAUUGUAUAAGGCACUUAGAGACGAUGUAAUGUAUCUGUGAGGAUGUGUGUAGGUUAUAUGUAAAUAUAGUCAUUUUAUACAAGGAGCGUCAGCAUUGGUGGUCUCAUGGACACUAAAGGAUGGCUAGGAUCAGUUAGGGGUAGGGUAUCCUGGAAGAUGGUCUCUCAACUCCUCAAAGCAAUGUCCCUGCCACAAAUGCAUGCUUCUGCCAACCCAGUAACCCCUCUGUUCCCACUACACCUCAGACCCCACUCUGUAGGAUGAGGCUGCAAACAGGCAUCCCUUGGCCGGCACUGGAAUAAGGGGUACACCUGCAUGGCCAAUAGUGAGCUGGGAACCUUGUGGGUAAGAAAGGGUCGCAGUGGGGUUGGGGAUUUAACUCAGUGGUAGAGCGCUUGCCUAGCAAACACAAGGCCCUGGGUUCGGUCCCCAGCUCCGGAAAAAAAAAAAGAAAAAGAAAAAAAAAAAAAAAGAAAGGCUUUACAAGAUGGAUGAAGCAAAGAAGUGCAGGCCAACAGGAGCCGGAUGUAGAUCGCUCCUGAGAGACACAGCCAGAAUACAGCAAAUACAGAGGCGAAUGCCAGCAGCAAACCACUGAACUGAGAAUAGGACCCCCGUUGAAGGAAUCAGAGAAAGGACUGGAAGAGCUUGAAGGGGUUCGAGACCCCAUAUGUACAACAAUGCCAACCAACCAGAGCUUCCAGGGACUAAGCCACUACCUAAAGACUAUACAUGGACUGACCCUGGACUCUGACCUCAUAGGUAGCAAUGAAUAUCCUAGUAAGAUCACCAGUGGAAGGGGAAGCCCUGGGUCCUGCUAAGACUGAACCCCCAGUGAACGUGAUUGUUGGGGGGA